UGAAGGGGGAAGGGGAACAGAAACUUGCUCAUCAAUAAUGUGAAGUUUCUUCACUUUACCCCCUUUCGAUUUUACGCGUCACGAUUCCUUUAACCCUCGCUUAAUUCCUUAUAUCCAUUUUCAUCACUCGGAUCAACACCACUUUUCACGACCAAAUUUCAGGCGAAGCUAAAUCGUAAAGCCAUUGUUCUACACUUCUUUUCACGCGCAGGAAAUGAAUAAUGAAUUCAAUUCAUGAAGUUUAUAAGAUUACAAAAGUACAAACAUUUAUAAGAGUUGACAUAGAUGGUUGGGGAGUUGACAUAGAUGGUUGGAUAUUUUGCCGCACUUACUUGGUUCAAGUCAGAAUUCCCACGAGUAAAUCUUUACUGGGCGUCCCUAAGCACUUUGGAACGGUUGUGACCCAAAGCGUUUUGGAGCUUGAAUUUGUAUUUGAUCCAAGGUGCAGGCUGAGACCAGAAUAAUUAAAAUAGGUAGGACUGUUGAAAUUUUGGCAUCACCUUUAUUUUUUAUUAUCCCAAAGAAACGACAAGACUGUCACUUAGUUAUUACUAUUUUGGAUCUGUAACGAACAUAUCUUUUGAUUCUAAGUUUCUAACACUGAAAUUAUUCUGAAAAGAGUACAUCUUCAAUUUAACACUGAAAUUAUUCUGACUACCCAUUCUAAAAUAUAUGAAAUAUUGUAGUGCCUAUUUUAAUGAUGCUAGGGACUACGGAACAAAAAUUCAUGUGCUUUAGAAACUAAAAUGACGUUUUUUCAUAUACUUCCAAAACUAUUUAUUAUGUAUUUGUAUAUUGUUUGGUGACUAAACUGGAAAGAGGGCUUAUUCAUCCUCAAAAUUAUUUACUCUCUCCAUCAAAUAUUAAGUUUCACAUUUGUAAAAGAGAAAUAUACCCUAGGCACUAGUUAAAGAAGUAAAGAUAGUAAAAAUACUUUGGAAAUUGUGUCGUCAAAUUCUUGAAAUAUAAAAUGUGUUGUUUUUAAUAUAAAACUUACUUAUUUUAGUUCCUUAACUAGUGCCCAUGAUACUAGUUUACACGACCCUUAUUUUAUUUCAAUUCUACAUUCAAAUAUAUCCCUCACUUUGAAGUCUACUAUACUCAACUGUACAUUUAUGGCAACAAUUUGUCCGGUGCGUCUCUGGGACACGGUAUGUUAUGAUAGCUAGACCAUGGACCCUUUUCGGAUUGGACCUUGACCUAGUCCGAAACAUUAUUGUUGGUUAAUAAUACAAUGGUUUGUUGUUCAACGGUUCUAUCUAUUUUAAUUGCCGGAUGAAUAUGUUUAUGAUAGGAUGAUAGGUAGAUUUUAAGGUUAAAAUUUUGUUUAUCGAUUCUAUUUUGCUGAGGAUUAUGUAUAGUGGACAUAUAAUUCAUAAUUAUUUAAAGCACAAUAGCGAGGUUUAUCUAAAGGAAUAGGAAUUUUUCAAAGGCCUCCUUUAUAUAUAUUUUUUCUUUCAAUUAGACAAUUUAUACCAAUAUAGUUAGGAUGUCAGUGAAGGCAUAAUGAUGGCUUUGCACUUCCAAUUUUUCGUUAACAAAAAUAUAUCUAGAAAAUUACUGUACUUUUGUUUGGUAAUUACUAUUAAAUUAUCAAUUUAAAAGGUGAAACUUUACUUUUGAAUUGUGUGAUUUGAGCUCACAAGAUGAACUGUGUUGUUCGCGGACUUGGAAGAGCCGAGCUUGAGCUAAAAAGAAGGUUUAUAUCAAACUCAAUUCGAAUUUCAAGAUGAACUAAUUUUAUCGAGUCAAGCUGAACUGGAGAAACUUGACAGAGCAGCAAUUCUUCGAAUACUCAUAAUCCCUUGGAACAACACUCGUUUGUUUGCACGAGCAGAGUUACAGAAGAGUUUUGGUGAAGCGAAAUCUAAAGAGUUGACAUAGAUGAUUGGACCUCUUGCUCACACUUGGAUACAAGUCACAGUUUCCGCAUUGGCAGGUCAUACAAUUCUAUUGCAAAUUUUUGUAGAGGUUUGUGGUUCUUCUUAGCAUGUCUCUCCUAAUCUAAAUUUCAUGGUACGGUAUACCCAAAUAAGAAUAAAAGGUUGAGUUUGUCUAAUAUGAACAUCCCAAAAAAGGUCCAAAGGUGAAUUCUUACAAAUUUUAGUAAAAGAAUGAAUUUAUAAUAAUAAAAAAUAGGGAUAACACCUUAGAAUAAAAUGUUUAGAAAGUUUUAUAAACUAAAUAUCUUUAAUGGACAAUGGUCUUCGAAUAAAAAGUAGCCGUAGAUAUUGACCAUUGCUCGGUAAGUGUACUUAAAUAAUACAUGUACACAAAUUUGUUUUUAUUAUUGUAUUAAUAAGUUUCACACAAUUGGAUUAAUACGUCACAUCACAUAUCAUUCGAUACAAUAGACAUUUUAAUCCAAUUUUUAAAACAAAUUUAUGUAUAAUAAUGAAAAAAUGUCUCACUUGUACACCAUAGACUAUAGGAUUAUGACAACUUUCCAUAGAAAAGUAUGGUUUAAAUAGAAAUAACUCUAUGAUUGGAUAUGAUAAAUCAUAUAAUAUAACCCUAUAUAAAAUGGUAUAUCCUUUCUCUACCCUAUAUGUCUUUGUACAUAGACAAUCAUUUUAGAAACAUAAACAUAAUAAUAAUACAAUUGCAUGUAUCUGAUCUAGAUCCGGGAAAAAGGGGGAUGGAGAAUACUUGCAUUUUUAAGUAAUCAUUUUUAAAAUAAUCUUUUAUAAACUUAAUUAAGUAAUGCAAAAUUACCUUACUCUAACGAUUUGUUUUAGGGGUUAUUCUACAUUUGUUUUCUUCAUGUGUGCUCUACUUUAAUUUAGCUUUGAAACACAUUUUAAGCAAAUCAUGCAAUUGUUCUAAGGCUUGCUGUGAUACUCUUUUUUAAUCCUCAAUGACUUGCUGCAAAUCUUCUGUACAGUAAUUUUAAGUAAUUGAUGCCAUAAUAUAGUGUAGCUCUUGUUUGUUGCUUAGCUUUGCUGGUUACAGUAUGUUUUACGUUUCUUUUGAAAAAUAGAGAAAAUCCUAACUCACUUUAUAUCAUAUAUGUAUUUUUACACUCUUCAAUUUUUAAUUUAUAUAAUUUCGAAAGUUAAAACUUGGAGUAGAAUUGGCAAUUUUAAUUAUAAUUUACUAGCUUAGAUCUACCGGAAAUGACUAUAUAUUGGCAAGUCCUUAAAUGGAUUACUACUAUAAUUUUUAGCAAGACUAAGAUAGAAUGUUAUACCUUAAAGUCAUAUUGCACUUUCUUGACAAUACAUUAUCAAAGUGUAUUAAAUUUUUUUUAAAGACAAAGGUACAUUAUUAAUUAAGAAAACAAAUUGUAUUAAGAGAAAAACGCCCCAUGAAAGAUUUUUGUUUGUGCAAUGUAACUCCAAUUUAGCAUCUUCAUAAGUUUACUUUCACAUUUUUUUUUUUAAGUAAAGGUUUACUUUCAGUUGAAACUCAUCUUCUAGGAAACAUGGCACAUUGAAUUACUCGUUCAUAUUGACAUUUGGAGCAAAUGACCCUAAGCAUUUUAGAACGGUUGUAACCCAAAAACCUUUCGAAGCCUGAAUUUGGAUUGGAUCUAAGUUGCAGGCUGAGAACAGAAUAAUUAAAUUAGCUAGAACUGUUGAAAUGUUGGCACCACCUUUAUUUUUUAAUUCUCCACAUAAAAGACAAGAUUGUCACUUAAUUAAUUAUUGUACUAUUUUUAAUCUGUGAGGAACACAUAUCUAUUGACUCUAAGUUUCUAACACUGAAUUGUUCAAAAAAAGUUGCUAACACUGAAAUUAUUAUCAAAAGAAUACAUUUUCAAUUUUGCUUCUAAAAGUGUUUAAUAUCUCUAUUUAGUUUCUAAAUAUAUAAAAAUAAUAAGUGUUGUCUCUAAUUAUAAGUCUCCUUUAAAAAAGAAUUGUAUCUAAGUAAAAGCACAUUUGCAGUUCCAAGUGAACUUAUCUCAGUUAAUAUGGACAUCACAUUUUAUAUUUAAGGGUCGGAAUUCGAAUUCCGGACACUCUACUUUUUCACUUUAAAAGUGAAAUUUUUAACCACUAGCCUACUUUAAAAAAAAUAAAUAAAUUCACAUUUGCAAAUUGCUAGAUACAUUUUUUACCAUUUGUCUUGGAAGAUAAAAAUUAAUAUUAGGACACAUAAAUUUUACAAAAUUCACCGUGGUCCACCGUGGACAAGUGAUAUACCGAAUAUGAAUUUUACAAAAUUCACUAUUGGAUUGAAAAUUUAUAUCGUAUAGAUCAUCCAUAAAUUUUUUAAAUUUUUUUGAAAAUCACUUGAUGUGUUAUUGAGACCCAUCAAGAUUUACGUUAUUUAAUAAACCGUUAAUCUUGAUGUGUCUCAAUAACAUAAUAAAUGAUUUUCAAUUUUUCUAAAUUUUUCUAUGGAUGAUAUAUAUGAUUUAAACUUUCAAUCAAACGGUGAAUUUUAUAAAAUUCGUAUUCGUUAUAAUGGUAUUCGUGACUGGUCCACUAUGAACCACCUGAUGAAGUGGUCAAUAUUAGAAUUUAUCAUAUGAACUUUGUUGCUUAACUUGCUUUGGUCCCCAUUGUUUUAAACUAUUUAUUACAGUAUUUGCAAAAAAAAAUAUAGUUUAGAAACUUCCAAGACUGAACAAAGAGUUUAUUCAUUCUCAACAUUAUUUCUUCCCUCCCGUCCUAUGUUAAAUUUCAAAUUUGCAAAAGAGAAAUGUAUCAAAAUAUGUGCUAUUAUUUUAUAAAAUUGAUAAUAUUUGUUGUAUCAUUUUUAAUUAUCUGUAUAUAAUAAACAUAAACAUCUAAACUUAAGGUGAUAUUUAUAUGGACCGAGGUAGUAUUUUUUAAAAACAUUUCAUUUUCAUACAAGAUUUCGAAUCUUGAAUAUAUAUUGCUGCCUUAGAGUUGAGUGUGAUUUAUGGUUAUAUAGGACACCCUAAAACAAUUUUUUAUCUUCAUAAUUAUCAUUUGAAAAUUUUAUUGUUCUAAGGAACUGGCCAUUCACAAACAACUACUCCAUAGCCUAUGCAUUAUAAAAUUAAUUAACAGAACUGGCCAAUGAUGACUUGUGCUUCUUAGUUAUAUUAAAAUUAAAAUUAAUUAUUAACUUUGUGUCAAAAAUAUGAAGGUAAACUCAACUCAAGCAACUGUCGGUGAUUACACCCACUUGGUGCAAUUUGUAAAGUGAUCAUUUAAUUUAUUUUUUGAUAUAUCUGUUUAAUUAGUUUUAUUAUUACUACUACAGCUGUCUACCUAUAAAUCUCAUUUGAUUUUGUUUUUACCAAUAUAAUAAAUUUCUAUUACAAUUUUUGAACCCAUGAUCGAUUG